AGAGUUUGAUCAUGGCUCAGAAUCAACGCUGGCGGCGCGCUUAACACAUGCAAGUCGCACGAGAAAGGGGAGCAAUCCCUGAGUACAGUGGCGUACGGGUGAGUAACACGUGGAUGAUCUACCUUCUAGUGGGGAAUACCCCUGGGAAACCGGGGAUAAUACCGCAUAAGCUCGUGAGAGGAAAGCAGCAAUGCGCUGGAAGAGGAGUCCGCGGCUGAUUAGCUAGAUGGUGAGGUAAUGGCUCACCAUGGCGAAGAUCGGUAGCCGGCCUGAGAGGGCACACGGCCACACUGGCACUGAAACACGGGCCAGACUCCUACGGGAGGCAGCAGUGGGGAAUCUUGCACAAUGGAGGCAACUCUGAUGCAGCGACGCCGCGUGAGCGAUGAAGCCCUUCGGGGUGUAAAGCUCUUUCGACGGGAACGAUAAUGACGGUACCCGAAGAAGAAGCUGCGGCUAACUACGUGCCAGCAGCCGCGGUAAUACGUAGGCAGCGAGCGUUGUUCGGAAUUACUGGGCGUAAAGAGUGCGUAGGCGGUGCUCUAAGUCUGUUGUGAAAUCUCCCGGCUCAACUGGGAGGGUGCGGCGGAAACUAGAGUGCUAGAGUAUGGGAGAGGUAAGCGGAAUUCCUGGUGUAGCGGUGAAAUGCGUAGAUAUCAGGAGGAACACCUGUGGUGUAGGCAGCUUACUGGACCAUGACUGACGCUGAGGCACGAAAGCGUGGGUAGCAAACAGGAUUAGAUACCCUAGUAGUCC
rnacentral:rRNA from 1 species